rnacentral:lncRNA from 1 species
UGAAGGCCUAGUAUAGAUUACCAGCAAGCACAUAAAGUUUAAAACCAGAAAACCUAUCCAAGUUUCAGGUCUGCUGUUUCACUAAAUAAGAACAGUCUUUGCAACUUUCCACCCUAAGAUAUAAAUAGAAAGGAAAAAAACUAACUGCUUGGUUCAUCAAAGCUGAUCCUUCUAGUGACAAGCCAAAUACAAGUUUCAUCGCUAGUUGGGGUACUACAUAGCAGCCAUCUCCAACAGCUCCCUGAAGUCAAAAUUCUGUUUCAGAAGCACUUCUGUCAUCUUUGUUUGAUCAAUUGAAGUACGUCAUUUUUGAUCUCGUCUUGUCUGUUGAAUUCCGAUAAAAUCAAUUCAGCUAGUAUAUGGGUUUGAAGAUAUAGAAUGUAGUCCUCCAUGUUAUUCAAAGAAGCAACACAUGUUAGUCAAUGUUUUAGGACAUGUCAAAUAAAAUUACAGCACAUGUUAUUCAAAGAAUCGGCACAUUUUAGAUAGGGUAUCGAUAAGAUAAUAGUUAGUGUUUUGCUACUUGUGAGAAUGAAUGCCUCAAACAUGUG